AACGCAGAGCCUGUAGCAAGCCAAUGUGCAGGCCAGACCGGCUACAUGCACACUGUACCGCACUGUGAUCAGUUAGCUAAUGCAUGCGUCCUUCCUCACAGGGCAUCUAAGAUGUCCGACAUUACCGAUGUUCAACACACUGGAGGAAGUUUCUGGCCUGCAGACAGACGGGUGGAGAGCGACUGCACACACGGAGUCACCUGCUGAAGAGUGUCAGCUAAAUGUCACGAAUUAAAUGUUCACGUCCACACUAACACCACCUGCUGUACCACCUUGGAGGUGUCUGGAUACCUGACGGCGCACCAUUAGGAUGUAAAGGUCACCUGAAGCACUGUGGCACCUCUGGACCGAACAAGAAACCAGGAAAUAUCAGAUCUUCUUCUGACAUCAUACUGUUGGUCUGUGAAGUCACAAACAGCAACAGGUAUGUGGUGGGUGUUGCCAUGGCGACAGACUGAGCCCUGCUGCAGCAGGUGUGAUGUCAGCCGUUCCCUCUGUCCUCCCCUUCAACAGUAGUGGGAUUACAACUGUGUUUGUUUCUGGUGCAAAGUAACUGAGUAUACUUUUACUCACUUCUCUACUUCAGUACUUUAUUUCUCUUCUCGUGCUUCUUUACACUUUUACUGUCCUGCGUUUCAGAGAGAAACAUGUUCUAUUUACUGACAGCUGCACUGU